GCGCCUAUAGCUUAGUGGAUAGAGCGCCGCCCUCCGGAGGCGGUAACGCAGGUUCGACUCCUGUUAGGCGCG
rfam:Eubacterium sp. CAG:156 genomic scaffold, scf27